GACCGGGGUUCGAUUCCCCGCCGGAGAGCCA
rnacentral:sRNA from 1 species